CAAAGUGCUGGGAUUACAGGCGUGAGCCACCGCACCCGGCAAACUCAUGUAAAUUUCUAAGUGAUGGGGUAACAGGAGAAUUUUUCUGUUCAUGACACAAGAGCUUCUAAAACUCUUGGAAUUAUCCAAGUGAUAGGGGUGAGAAGAGCGUCUUCUGUUACUCUUAAUAAGCCCCUUUCAAGCCUACCCGAGUUUAUGUUAAUAAGGGUGACUCAGAGGACAGGAGCCCCUUGCCAGAGGAACCAACCAUGUGACUAAAAGGUUGGAAUUUUCAGCUCCACUGUCCCUCCUCCAGGAUGGGGAGAGGGGCUGGAGAUGAGUCCCGUCACCAAUGGCCAAUGAUGUCAUCAAUCAUACCUAUGUAAUGGAACUCCCACAAAAACUCUAAAUAAAGGGGUUCCAAGAGCUGCUAGGUUGGUGAACACAUGGAGGUGCAGGGAGGGUGGCGAGCCCAGCGAGGAUGUGGAUUCCCAACGGCCCUUCCCACAUACCUCAUUCUUUCAUUUGGCUGUUUCUGAGUUGUGUGCUUUAUAAUCAGCUGACAAUGAACAGUGGAAGUACCAAGUGAAAAAACAAAAAACCAAAACAAAACCACAACAAAUAACCUAGGAGAGAAGCAAUAGUAUGGAGAAAGUGCAAGAAUGAAUUAGUUGCCCAUGCCCAGCCAAUUGAGGUGAAGGCUGGAAGAGGUCCAGGAAAGAAUCUCACCAUAGCUGAUGGAGUGGUUCAGGAGCUGGAGAUCUGGGCUUGGAAGACACCUCUCUGUGAACGAAUGAGAUAUAGCUCCUGCUCCUAUUGCAGAGGAUGAAAAGCAGGCCCACAGAGAAGAAAAAUGUAGAGUCUAAAGGAUAUGACGACAGUACUGGGUAGAGCCUAGGUAAAUAGCAUUGGAGAGGUUACACCAACGAGAAUUGGGAUGUUCCAGCAGAUAUAGAAUGACAGUGACUCUGGAGGAUGUAGUGGUCUCCCAUAAUGUGAGGGCAGGAAGGGAUCUUAGUCCCAUCCAUUUGCUGUGUAGGGGAGGAAAAUGAAUGGAGAAAAAGGUCAAGUAAAAUGUUCAAGGGCAUAGAUGUCAUUCUGCUGCUCAGAACUUGUCUUCCUCACUUUUAUUUCUCACCUUGCCUUUCCUUACUCCUUGCUUACAGGAUGAAGGUCCAACUCUUUAGUAUGACAUCAAUGGCUUGACUUUGCAAUUUGACUUCAUAGUAAUCCCUUUGCUUACUUUUCAAUUUGCCUAAAAAUAUUCUGUGCUUUUCCCUGCUUCCCUGCUCAUGCUAUUCUUUCUGAAUUGAAUGUCUCUCUUUUCUCUAUCCAUUUCUUGAAAAUCUGGCUUUAAGAGCAGUUUAAGACUCAGAAUUCUAAAUGUCCCAAAACAUUUUCUUCAAAUCUCUCCCUUCCAACAAAUAAUUUUCCUUACUUCCCAAUCAUAUAUCACUCUGUGGUAUUUCUCCUGUGUAAAUGUCACCUUGCAUCACGACUGCUAGAGUUCUCAUAAGCAGGUGGCAAACUCUUUAACAAUAAAGCUGCUUUAGUAAUUUUUGUGCCCACCUUCACUCAGAGCUUGUACAUAUUAAGGGCCGAGCAGUAUUUACUGCUAGGAACAAAGGAAUGAAUAAAUGAAGCUAUUAAAUCUCA